GAUGAACGCUGGCGGCGUGCGUAAUACAUGCAAGUCGAACGGAGUGCUAGCAAUAGUACUUAGUGGCGAACGGGUGAGUAACGCGUUGGUGACCUGCCCCGAAGAGUGGGAUAACAGUUCGAAAGGACUGCUAAUACCGCAUGAUCUCUUCUUAGUUAGAGAGGGAAGAGGAAAGGAGCAAUCCGCUUUGGGAGGGGCCUGCGUCCCAUCAGCUAGUUGGUAAGGUAAGAGCUUACCAAGGCGACGACGGGUAGGGGGUCUGAGAGGAUGGCCCCCCACACUGGGACUGAGACACGGCCCAGACACCUACGGGUGGCAG
rnacentral:rRNA from 1 species